CGUGUCGUGAGAUGUUGGGUUAAGUCCCGCAACGAGCGCAACCCUUGAUCUUAGUUGCCAGCAUUCAGUUGGGCACUCUAAGGUGACUGCCGGUGACAAACCGGAGGAAGGUGGGGAUGACGUCAGAUCAUCAUGCCCCUUAUGACCUGGGCUACACACGUGCUACAAUGGAUGGUACAAAGAGCUGCGAACCCGCGAGGGUAAGCGAAUCUCAUAAAGCCAUUCUCAGUUCGGAUUGUAGGCUGCAACUCACCUACAUGAAGCCGGAAUCGCUAGUAAUCGCGGAUCAGCAUGCCGCGGUGAAUACGUUCCCGGGCCUU
rnacentral:rRNA from 1 species